CAUUGCUCUAACAUGAACUGAGCACGAAAUACUUAUUGGCUGCUGGCAGGUAAAGAAUAGCUGGGGGUAUGUGUUCCACAAUGAAGCCAUCUUUGCCUUUCUCUGAGGGAGCCCAUGUCCAGAUCAUGGAAGAGCUUACGAGUACACGCCAGGCGAGGGACCAUCAGUGAUGCUGCAGUUAACACCUGCUCUUCUGCAGAGACCGGGAGGAUUUGCGGCCCUCAAUCUUGCUUGACUCCCCCAGUCAUGCAAGGCAGGCAUCUCCAAGCCCACUCUACAGCGACCCCUCAAGGAAGCUGGGCGUCUUUAAGAUUGGAGGCACGUUGAGAAUGAGUGUGACGUCCAGAGAAAGUGUCUGUGAAGGAACCUCGCGCAGCGGGCUUCCAGGAAGACAUGCAGGACACAGAGCCCUCGGUGAAGAGAGUCUCCAGGCAGCGGUGAUGCUGUGACAACAGGCAGGAGUUGGUCCGGGGCUGAGUGGUGGUCCUGAAACAAUGCGGUGCUCAGAGAGGGUCCCCAUAAAGCAGUAUGAUCCUCCCAGGAACUCUCCCCUGGGCUGUUCUUCCCUGCGAGGGACACGGAGGGCUGCGUGAGGACCAUCCUUAGAGCUGGGAAUCACAUCUUCUUCUGCGUGACCCCAUCAUGUACAUUACCGUCUGCCUCCCCGCCCUCCCAUCGCCCACCGAGGCUUCCUGCCACCGCCCACCUGAACAUCAAGUAUCUCAUUCAGCUCCUGACCUCCACUCACCGCACCCCCCACAACCUCGCCGCUUCCUCCUACUGCUUCUCCAUCAUCCUCCCUUUGAUCCAGACACACGAAACUACUUGCCAUUCCUGAGAUGUGCCCGGAACGCCAGUGGUGUCGUCUUCUGGGAAAGAGCAUCCAGAAGGACUCAGGGCUCAGGGCUGACUGUCAGGGCUCACAGUCACUGAGCCUUCCUGGGACCCCCACUCUGAUCUGGGUUCCGUCCUCUCGUCUCUGGACAGCCCCCUGCCCCCCGCCUGGGACUUGCAUUCCCUGACUGCAGGCACUUGUUCAUCUCUCUCCCCGCCUGGGUUGAGCAACUUGAGGGCAAGGAGCUGUGAUGUUGAGUUCCUGAUGUCCCCCGGCAUGUAGAAUCAGACUAGCUUGUAGCAGAGGCCCGGCACAUUUCUCUGGGAUGAAGGACUGAAUAGAUAACUGAAAAUAGCAAAAAGUCUCCCAGGCCAAGGCUUAUACACCAGGAGAUCACCAGGGAUGGGCUGUCAGUGGGAGGACAUUCCCAGGCCUGCUCAUAAAGGGAAUCAGGGGCAGUUUCUGGAACUUUCUGGACACAGGUACCAUCCUUGGAGAAGCGUAUCCUUUUAUUAUGUGACUGUGAGGGGUCCCUCCUUUGGCUGCUGGAUGUGGUGUGUUGGGGGCUUUGCUCCCCAAGUGUUGUGGGGGGCCCCAGGAAACCAGCCCUGAGACAGAGAAUGGGUUCAGGCAAGUUAGUGAGGGCAGUGCUCCGUGAUCACCCUCUGCCCAGCCGAGAGGGCUGCCCAAGGGUCGGGAGGAAGAAGCUGGGCUACAAUGUCCAACCACAGAGGGGAGCGGUGUUUCUCAGCCACUCCCUGAGACCCUCUGCAGCCCUUCCGAGUUCCCCAAGUUGGAGCUAGGGGCCAGGUUUUACACCCCCACGAUGACCAUCAAGGGAGGCGGGCAUGUUAUGGAUUCGACCGUGUCCGUCCAAAGAGACGUGUUGAAUUCUUGAGGCUGCCCCAACCUGGGAAUAUUCGAGAACCUGCUACAGAAAAUGUUGUGCACAGGGAUCUCAGGUCGGUGGGGCAGUGUAGGUAAGAGACACAAGAUUCAAAGUAGCCUGAGUGCGUUUCAUUAAUUAAUUCUUUUAUUCACAUGCUUCCUUCAUUUUCCAAAUAUUUAUUGAGCACCUGCUAUUUGCUCUACUAGGGGCACACUGGGGGCAUGCCAAGGCGGUAUUGUGAACCCCUCAGCCAGGCGCUAAGUGGCUCCUGCCUUUCUGUGUUUCUGCAAAUGAACCCACUUUCUUGCCCCCUGGGAUCCAGACCAGCAGCUUCAUUCCCAUGUGCCUACUGCGGCCCUCACCACAUGCACUCGAUGUAAUGUGAUGGCGUAAUUACAGAAAUGGAUAACACCCCGAGCUUCCCGAACCACCCCAGAACACGUUGUAAUGAUUUGUCACCCAUUUUCCAAGGUAGCAUGCACUAACCCUUAAUUAUAAGCCAAGGCUGGAGAUGAGUAAAUAAAUAUGCAUGCCAGUCUGAAUGCUAUAAUUAGAACUACCAUUUGGCUAAAGAAAAGUAGAGACGCUUUAAUUCCAGGCCUCUGCCUGAAUGUUGAGCUGCUGCUAGGGAACGGCCCGUGUGUGUUAACACGUUAAGUUCUGAGCAAGAGCUAGCAUAGUGAGAAGGCAGCGUUUUGUAAACGGGGCUGGGACUCUGCAUGUCACUAGAUGUUUCAAUUCUGUGUUUAUUUCCCAAAGCCAACUUAAUGUGAUGGUUAGUAGUUUUCAGACACUGACUUCAGAUAGCUACUUUGAAUGACAAUUUGGCGUAAAGUGUCUAACACUAUUUGUAUAACAGGUUGGCAUCACUCAUUGGCAGCAAAGAGUUGGGUAAUAAUGGGAUGGACACACACCAUCUAUUCAUUUAACAUUUUUUCUCACGUAUCCACUCCAUGCCAGGCACUGUUCUAGGUAGUGAUGGACACAAAUGACUUGGACCUAGAGCUUGUCAGACAGAGUAAGUCAGGCAGAGAAAGACAAAUAUCCUAUGGUAUUGCUUAUCCUGGCGUGCUGCAGUCCGUGGAAUUGCAAAGAGUCGGAUGCUACUGAGCGACGGAACUGAACUGAUUGCUUAUAUGUGGAAUCUUUAAAAAUGGUAUAGGUGAAUCUGUUUACAAAACAGA